AGUAACCUGCCCCUUACUCUGGGAUAAGUCCGUGAAACCGGUGCUAAUACCUGAUACGACCCGAGCGGGCAUCCGCAUCGGGUGGAAAGUUUUUCGGUUUGGGAUGGACUCGCGGCCUAUCAGCUUGUUGGUGGGGUAAUGGCCCACCAAGGCGACGACGGGUAGCCGGCGUGAGAGGGCGACCGGCCACACUGGGACUGAGACACGGCCCAGACUCAUACGGGAGGCAGCAGUGGGGAAUAUUGCACAAUGGGCGAAAGCCUGAUGCAGCGACGCCGCCUGAGGGAUGACGGCCUUCGGGUUGUAAACCUCUUCCAGCAGGGAAGUAGCUUUUGUGACGGUACCUGCAGAAGAAGCACCGGCUAACUACGUGCCAGCAGCCGCGGUAAUACGUAGGGUGCGAGCGUUGUCCGGAAUUAUUGGGCGUAAAGAGCUUGUAGGCGGUUUGUCGCGUCUGCUGUGAAAACUCGGGGCUUAACCCCGAGCUUGCAGUGGGUACGGGCAGACUAGAGUAUGGUAGGGGAGACUGGAAUUCCUGGUGUAGCGGUGGAAUGCGCAGAUAUCAGGAGGAACACCGAUGGCGAAGGCAGGUCUCUGGGCCAUAACUGACGCUGAGAAGCGAAAGCAUGGGUAGCGAAUGGGAUUAGAUACCCCAGUAGU
rnacentral:rRNA from 1 species